AGCAGCCGCGGUAAUUCCAGCUCCAAUAGCGUAUAUUAAAGUUGUUGCAGUUAAAAAGCUCGUAGUUGAAUUUCGGGGCCAGCAGGUUGGUCGUGCCAAUGGUAUGCACUGGCCUUGCUGAUUCCUCCCUCUUGAUGAGCCGUAAUGUCAUUAAUUUGGUGUUGCGGGGAAUCAGGACUGUUACUUUGAAAAAUUAGAGUGUUUAAAGCAGGCAAGCGCUUGAAUACAUUAGCAUGGAAUAAUGAAAUAGGACGUUUGAUCCUAUUUUGUUGGUUUCUAGGAUUGACGUAAUGAUUAAUAGGGAUAGUUGGGGGCAUUAGUAUUCAAUUGUCAGAGGUGAAAUUCUUGGAUUUAUUGAAGACUAACUACUGCGAAGGCAUUUGCCAAGGAUGUUUUCAUUAAUCAAGAACGAAAGUUAGGGGAUCGAAGACGAUCAGAUACCGUCGUAGUCUUAACCAUAAACUAUGCCGACUAGGGAUCGGAUGAUGUUAAUUUUUAAUG
rnacentral:rRNA from 1 species